UUGCCUUCAAUGCGACUACUGAUCAUGAAUCCUACCGUGGUAAUCGCCCUCGCCGGUUAGGCUAACUACUUCUGGUAAACCACUCCCAUGGUGUGACGGGCAGUGUGUGCAAGACCGGGAACGUAUUCACCUGUUAUGCAAUCCGCGGUACCGCGGUGACUUUCUGUGAAAAUCGAAGGUACAGGCACAAUCGAACUUCAAUCGUUCUAAAGAUGCUCUGCGGGUUGGCGACCCUCUGUCCCGACCAUUGUAUGACGUGUGACCCUACCCAUAAAGACCAUGAGGACUUGACAUCAUCACCUUCCUCAAGUUUGUCACCGGCGAUCUCAUUAAAUUGCCGCUUUCCGUAGCAACUAAUGACAAGGGUUGCGCUCGUUGCGGGACUUAACAACAUCGACACGAGCGACGGCAACCGUAAAGCACCUGUGUUCAGUUCUCUUGCGAGCACUCCCAAAUCUCUUCGGGAUUCGGGCAUAUCAGGUAGGUAAGGUUUUCGCGUUGCAUCAGUUAAUGCAUCAUCCACCGCUUGUGCGGGUCGUCAAUUCGAGGUUUUGAUCGACCAUACUCACAGGCGGUCAACUUCACACAAUGCUGCUACCGGCAAAACUGGCAACUUUAAUUGACAUCAUUUAGAGCAUGGACUGCCAGGAGUAUCUAAUCCUGUUGCUCCCACGCUUUCGUGCAUGAAACGUCGAAAUUGUUAUCGGGAGGCUGCCUUCGCCAUCGGUGUUCAUCCGUAUCUACUUGGCCCCUGCUACCCGCAGAGUACCUCCCCCUCUGACACACUCCUAUCGUGGUAAAAGUGCAGAUUUCCAAAUUCGCUCUGGGAUUUCAUCUUCUUUCGAACACGCCUGCCGCUUGCACUUAAUGUUCGAUGCGCUCCCACCCCUGCAAUAUUGCGGCAUGCUGUACGUAAUUAGCCCGGCGAUACUUAUAUUCUGCGGAAAUACCGUCGAGAUUGCACGGUAUUAUCAUGCCAUUCUUUCCACCGCCAGUACUUUCAGCUUGAGCCCAUCGCACGCGGAUGCGGAUCGGGGACUACGUAUCCAGGAAAUUCCCUGCCCGCUAUCCCGUAAGUCUGAGCCGGCAUAUCGAUCCCGAAUGUGGCCUGGUCGUCCUCCUCAAACCCUUUACGGAUCGUCGCCCAGUGAGCCGUACCACCAACCCCAACUAAUCGAUAUCGGCCAUAUAAUAGUACGAGCCCGAAAGUCCACUCCCAGUAUGCAUGUCAGCACCUUUCAUGAAUUACAUCCGCUACUAGGCACGUUCGAAUGCAUUACUCACCAUUCGCCACUCGCCACCAGACCGAAGAUCCACGUGCUGCCAUUCGACUUGCGUAGUAAGCAUCCGCCGGCGUUCGAUCUGAAUGUAAUCGGACU
rnacentral:rRNA from 1 species